CAUGCAUCCGAGUGAACAUCAUGUCGUUUGCUGACAUCUUGUUCAAUCAUUUCAAAAGCUUUCACCUGUACAGAGUACAAACACUAAUAGAGAGAGAGAGAUUCAGAGGAGGGGGAGCUCCUGGAAUUGUAAGGAAAACCAAGGCUUUGAGAGAGACAUAAUAGAUUAACAGUGAGCUAAAGCUUAGUUUCAUCUCAAGCUUUAAAAAGAGCAUGAAGGGCCAUGAACCGAAGAUGCCAAGAAUGGAGGACAUUCUUAGUCUUCCAGUACAAGAUCCUCCUUGUGCAGAGUUUUCUGCUGCUCAUAUAAAGUGGGUGAAAGUAGAAGGUGGUCGACAAGGUGGCGAUGAUAUUGCCCUAAUCCCUUUUGCUAGAGUAGAUGAUUUUGUAAAAGGAGAAUCUUCAAAUGCAGAAUGUCCUGCUAGCUUUCGAAUUGAGUCUAGAAGGAAGAGAUCUGAAGGGAGCAUCAGCAAACCAAGGGUCGAUGGCUAUCUUGAAUAUACACUAUAUUGGUGUUCAUAUGGUCCUGAAGAUUAUCGAGAUAGUGAGUCCACUAUGGGGGAUGGUUCUCAUACCAAACCUGCGACUGGGAAGGGAAGCAGACCCGGGAGGCGUCACAUGAUGAGAGGUUGCCUUUGCCAUUUCACUGUAAAACGCCUAUACACUCGCCCCUUCCUUGCUCUUAUCAUAUAUAAUCAGAGAAAACAUGUAGAUAAAACAGGGGCCCCAUGUCAUGGGAUACUUGAUGUGGAUGCUGUGGGGACAAGAGCUAUGUAUGCUCCAAGGAUUUCAGAAGAAUUGCGCCAGAAAGUGAUGUCUUUGCUAUAUAUUGGAAUAUCUUUGGACAAUAUAAUCCAGCAUCAUGCAGAGGUGGUGCAGGGGCAUGGUGGCCCCCUCAACCGAGAUGAUUUGCUCACUCGGAAUGAUGUUCGCAACAUGGAGAGGAAUGUUCGUAAUUCAUCUUACAAAUUGCAUGCAGAUGAUGAAUCCAGUGUAAAGAUGUGGGUGCAGCGCCACCAGAAGCAUGUUUUUUUCUUCCAAGAUAUGUCAAGCACAGAACCUUUUAUUCUGGGGAUACAGACAGAUUGGCAGCUGCAGCAGAUGAUCCGUUAUGGACAUAGUGGUUCGAUAGCUUCUCAUUCUACAUUUGGCUUGAAGAAACUUAAGUAUCCCCUAUGUACUUUACUAGUUUUUGACUCUUCUCAAAAUGCAAUUCCGGUUGCUUGGAUCGUUACCUCCUCAUUUGUUACUCAAGAUAUCCACAAAUGGAUUGGCUCUUUGGCUGAAAGAAUCCGAAGCAAGGACCCGAGAUGGAGGCCUAAUGCCUUUUUAGUGGAUGAUCCUUCUUUUGAUAUUUCUUUCAUAAGAGAGGCCUUCCAAUGCCGGUUGCUAUUAUGUGCCUGGCAUGUCCGCCGUGCUUGGAUGAGAAGUCUUUUAAAGAAAUGCUGCAACAUUGAUGUUCAGCGAGAGAUGUUUAAGCACUUGGGUUGGAUUUUGUAUUCUACAAGAAGUGGGCCAAAUGCUGAUAAUGCAGUUGAAGAGUUCAUGCAAGUAUAUGUUGACCAGUGUAUCUUUAUGGAUUAUUUCAAGAGGAGAUGGUUGCCAUAUAUAGAGUUGUGGAUUAAUAGCAUCAGGUCUCUCCCUGUAGCCAGUACAGAGCCCCUGGCUGCAAUUGAAUCCUACCACUUAAGGUUGAAAUCCAAGCUUUUCGAUCAGCAAUAUGCUAAUUCCUAUACAAGAAUUGACUGGUUGAUCCACACUUUGACAACUGAAUUCCACUCCUUAUAUUGGUUAGAUCAAUACAGUGCAGAGACUGGGUAUUUCACUUAUGCAAGGGACAAGUCUUUCUCAACUAAUGCUUGGUAUCAGGCCCUGCACAUCCCUGAUGUCGAUGUGAUAUUGGAUGAACAAAAUCUACAGCUUGCGAAAGUCAUCUCCCAGACCGAUAGAAGUCUGGCAUAUACAAUUUGGAACCCUGGUUCUGAGUUCGCCCUCUGUGACUGCCCCUGGUCAAGACAGGGAAAUCUCUGUAAGCAUGUCAUCAAGGUAGCAAUUUUAUGUAAAAAUCGACAGGUUGCAAGGCCAUUAUUGGCAUCUCAAGUUUAUCGCCAGGCCUUGCUUACCCUUCUGCAGAACCCCCCCGAUGAUCCUCUGGUUCUUGAGCAUGCGAUUUUGCGUGUUAGCCGCUUGCAACAGGAUAUCAAAGGUUUGGAAGACUUGUCUAAUAAUGGGUUACUCCAGCCAUCACCACCUGAAAUGAACACUCAAUUUGAAGGCUUUUCCAUUUGGCCAAGGUUUUGAAUGAGAACAUGAAGUUAUAUCCUUUGAUCUGCUGGCAAGCUAACUUCAGAAGUCAGAACUUGCACCAGCUUGCUUUGGCGAGUUCAAAACUUGCAUUCAUGAAACAAAGGGUUUUUGCCUGUGAAGGGAAUGUAUUAUGUGGGAUCCAUGGUUGCCUGGUUUUAGUGUUGGAUAUUUACCUGUGAGAUGGCAGAAGAUAGCCUCUGUUGACGCCCUGUUUCAUGGUUUGAUAUAAGCAAAUCUUGCCAGAAAACAAGCAAAAUAAAGUGGAGUCAUCUUUAGCUAGAGGUGUUACCCCCAGGAUCAUGUGCUGAUGUGGAUAAGAAGUCUAAUCUUAGGUGAUAUCUUUAAUUAACUGUUAGUUCAACUGUAUAUUUUCUCGUGACAUGUUGCUUUGUAGGAAGGCCACAUGGACUACAAAUCUAGUGUACACUUUAUUCUCUCUUCAAAUUGAUCCUUGUAAUUUCCAGAUUCCUUGAAACAACAAGGUACUUGCAAAAAAGUAACGACAGAAUGCAAGUCAGGUUUUUGCAAGGACUUCCUUUGUAGUUUCUCUAUUUCACUGCACAAAUUAUCAUUGGAGCAGAACUGUUAUCUUAUCUGGCAACCGUGUCAUUAUUUGAAAAACUGCUUUAUGUUGGUGCCAUGGAGAUUUAAAGGUGGUCUAAGAUGCUGUGGCUGUAAA